rnacentral:rRNA from 1 species
GACGAACGCUGGCGGCGUGCUUAACACAUGCAAGUCGAACGAAGAGCGAUGGAAGCUUGCUUCUAUCACUCUUAGUGGCGAACGGGUGAGUAACGCGUAAUCAACCUGCCCUUCAGAGGGGGACAACAGUUGGAAACGACUGCUAAUACCGCAUACGAUCUAACCUCGGCAUCGAGGAUAGAUGAAAGGUGGCCUCUACAUGUAAGCUAUCACUGAAGGAGGGGAUUGCGUCUGAUUAGCUAGUUGGAGGGGUAACGGGCCACCAAGGCGAUGAUCAGUAGCCGGUCUGAGAGGAUGAACGGCCACAUUGGGACUGAGACACGGCCCAGACUCCUACGGGAGGCAGCAGUGGGGAAUCUUCCGCAAUGGACGAAAGUCUGACGGAGCAACGCCGCGUGAGUGAUGACGGCCUUCGGGUUGUAAAGCUCUGUUAAUCGGGACGAAAGGCCUUCUUGCGAAUAGUUAGAAGGAUUGACGGUACCGGAAUAGAAAGCCACGGCUAACUACGUG